UUUCACCAGACUAUGAAAUACUCUUAUAUUUGGAAGAAAAGUCUUGAAGAAAUUGAGGAUUUGAAGAGAAAGAGAAAAAUCUGUGUAGAAAGAGAGCUAAAGAUAUGUACGUGUGCGUCUUCAGAGAGAGAAUGCGCAGGAGAACGGUCUCGGGCUUUGAUGCCUCUGUUACUACCUGGUACGGUGGUACCUCUGUCAGAAUAAAAGAGAAGGUGGGUAGCUAUUAGCAAUUUAGCCGAAAUUUGAGCCCCUAAGGCCCAAGCCCAAGAACAGAGAAUUUGAUACCAGAAGCCGAACUGCCUCCUGCCGAAUUCUUCAAGCUUCUAGCCCCCUCUAGACUCUGUAGAUUCUUCCCAUAGAAGAAAAGAGAGAGAAAACAGUGCAUAUUUAUUCAAUGGAUGCCGCUAAGAUAGCAGACCUUAAGCAAUUUGUUGAUCACUGCAAGUCUAACCCUUCUAUACUCCACGACCCAUCUCUUACUUUCUUCAGAACCUAUCUUCACAGCCUGGGUGCUCGAAUUCCACCUCAAACUAAAUCGGAGAAAGGUGAUAUUGACAUGUCCAACUCUAAUGAAGACUUUAAUGACCAGAGAUCAAGUGAAGAGGGUGAUAACAUAAUAGAGUCUGACAUUGAAUUAGAUGAUAGUGACAUUGUGGAACCUGACAAUGAUCCUCCGCAAAAGAUGGGAAACCCUGCAAUUGAAGUUACAGAAGAAAAGCAGGAUGCUGCACAAACAGAAAAAGUAAAAGCCAUGGAAGCAAUCUCUGAAGGCAAGCUUGGUGAUGCGAUAGUUCACCUAACAGAGGCUAUAACGUUGAAUCCCACUUCAGCAAUAUUAUAUGCAACUAGAGCUAGUGUUUUUGUUAAACUGAAGAAACCAAAUGCUGCAAUACGUGAUGCUAAUGCUGCUCUAGAGGUUAGUCCUGGGAGGCUGGGUCCUCUCUACAACUGAGCUUGUACAGGCAGCAAAGAAGUUUCAGAUUCAUUAGCAAUGAUGCAUGUGUUUAUUUUAUGACAUUUGACAGACAUGAUAAGUUAAUUGCGUAUGUUCUAGAUCAACCCGGACUCUGCUAAAGGAUAUAAAGUACGGGGAAUAGCAAGGGCCAUGCUGGGCCAAUGGGAAGAAGCAGCAAGUGACCUGCAUGUAGCAUCAAAGUUGGAUUAUGAUGAGGAGAUUGCUUUGGUUCUAAAAAAGGUUGAACCUAAUGCACGCAAAAUUCAAGAGCAUCGUCGAAAAUAUGAACGCUUGAGAAAAGAAAGGGAGCUAAAGAAAGCUGAACGGGAGAGACAACAGCGAGUUGAAGCCCAAGGACGAGAAGCUUUAUCUGCUUUAAAGGAGGGGCAAGUAAUAGGCAUCCAUUCUACCAGUGAGUUGGAAACCAAAUUGAAUGCUGCUUCAAGAACAUCUCGCCUUGCAAUCCUGUAUUUUACAGCAACAUGGUGUGGGCCUUGUCGUUACAUUUCUCCUCUUUUUACAAAUUUAGCUACAAAGUACCCUAAAACUGUAUUCUUGAAAGUUGACAUCGAUGAGGCUAGGGAUGUGGCUGCGAAAUGGAAUAUUAGCAGUGUUCCUACAUUUUUCUUCAUAAAGAAUGGCAAGGAGAUCGACAAAGUUGUGGGUGCUGAUAAAAAUGGACUUGAGAGGAAGAUUGAACAAUAUGCAUCCUAGGCCUGAGUUAAAUAUCUGUAAGAACCUCAUAACUUGUGUUUCUUCCGUCCUUUAGGCUCUGUGAGCAUCACUAGUCUUACAAAUGGGAUAAACUUGUGAGAAGAUUGUCUUGUUUCAUAAUAAAAUGACCUGCCCUAAGGUAUGUUGUAUGGAUGAAAAUAAGCUAAUUUUACUCUGCAUUUUGUAUUUUGAAUCUAUAAUAGAUCUAAGCGCAGACAAGAUUUGUUUUAUUUUUCUUCACGUCCUAGUAUUUGCCAACUUCUGGCCAGGGCAUAAGAAUUGUGCUGGCAAUUUGGCAUUUACUGUUAAUUACAAUAUUGUUGGUGUCUUUUGCCUUUGAAACAUAAUUGGGCCUCCAUUUCUUGUACUGCAUAAGCAUAUUCCCUGGUUAAUACCUUUGCUGGUGACCUUCUAAUAAAUUCAAAAUUCAAUUGAUAUUUACCUGAAUUCCUGAACUAGAAUCUUCAAGCUUUUCAAGAUUGUUUUCCAAGAACUUGAUAAAAA
rnacentral:misc_RNA from 1 species